rnacentral:rRNA from 1 species
GAGUUUGAUCCUGGCUCAGGAUGAACGCUGGCGGUAUGCUUAAUACAUGCAAGUCGUACGAGAGCUUUUAGCUCUAGUGGCGGACGGGUGAGUAACACGUGAGAAUCUGCCCUUAGGAGGAGGAUAACAGCUGGAAACGGUUGCUUAAUACUCCAUAUGCCGAGAGGUAAAAGGAUUUAUCCACCUAAGGAGGAGCUCGCGUCUGAUUAGCUAGUUGGUAGGGUAAUAGCCUACCAAGGCGACGAUCAGUAGCUGGUUUGAGAGGAUGAUCAGCCACACUGGGACUGAGACACGGCCCAGACUCCUACGGGAGGCAGCAGUAGGGAAUUUUCCGCAAUGGGCGAAAGCCUGACGGAGCAAUACCGCGUGAGGGAUGACGGCCUGUGGGUUGUAAGCCUCUUUUCUCAAGGAAGA